rnacentral:misc_RNA from 1 species
CGCCAGGAGACGCUGGAUCAUGGCAAAGAGAGAAUAAGGGUUACCAAUUUUGGACUACGACAGAUGAGGAUGGCUGCUUUGUCAUUAAGAACAUACGUGCAGGGUCAUAUAAUCUUUACGGAGUGGUGCCUGGAUUUAUCGGAGAUUACAAGUAUGAAGUUGUAAUAACUUUAACAGAAGGUUCUGAUAUUGAGCUGGGUGAGAUUGUUUAUGAGCCUCCAAGAGAUGGUCCUACCUUAUGGGAGAUCGGUAUCCCUGACCGCUCUGCUGCAGAAUUUUAUAUUCCUGAUCCAAACCCGAAAUAUGUUAACAAACUUUACCUAAAUCAAGACAAAUUUAGGCAGUAUGGUUUGUGGGAGAGAUAUGCUGAGUUAUAUCCCGAGAACGAUUUAGUCUACACAGUUGGAGUUAGUGACUAUCAGAAAGACUGGUUCUUUGCUCAGGUUAACAGGGAAAUAGGUGACAAUGUAUAUCAAAG